UCGAUUCAGGCCUAACACAUGCAAGUCGCACGGUCAGCAAUGGCAGUGGCGGACGGGUGAGUAACACGUAGGAAUCUAUCCUGGGGUGGGGGACAACAGCGGGAAACUGCUGCUAAUACCGCAUGAUACCUGAGGGUCAAAGGCGCAAGUCGCCUUGGGAGGAGCCUGCGUCUGAUUAGCUUGUUGGUGGGGUAAAGGCCUACCAAGGCGACGACCAGUAGCUGGUCUGAGAGGAUGAUCAGCCACAUUGGGACUGAGACACGGCCCAAACUCCUACGGGAGGCAGCAGUGGGGAAUAUUGGACAAUGGGGGCAACCCUGAUCCAGCAAUGCCGCGUGUGUGAAGAAGGUCUUCGGAUUGUAAAGCACUUUUGGCAGGGACGAUGAUGACGGUACCUGCAGAAUAAGCCCCGGCUAACUUCGUGCCAGCAGCCGCGGUAAUACGAAGGGGGCUAGCGUUGCUCGGAAUGACUGGGCGUAAAGGGCGCGUAGGCGGCGCGUACAGUCAGAAGUGAAAUUCCUGGGCUCAACCUGGGGACUGCUUUUGAUACGUGCGUGCUUGAGUGAGGAAGAGGGUUGUGGAAUUUCCAGUGUAGAGGUGAAAUUCGUAGAUAUUGGAAAGAACACCGGUGGCGAAGGCGGCAACCUGGUCCUUUACUGACGCUGAGGCGCGAAAGCGUGGGGAGCAAACAGGAUUAGAUACCCUGGUAGUCCACGCUGUAAACGAUGUGUGCUGGAUGUUGGGAAACUUAGUUUUUCAGUGUCGUAGCUAACGCGAUAAGCACACCGCCUGGGGAGUACGGCCGCAAGGUUGAAACUCAAGGAAUUGACGGGGGCCCGCACAAGCGGUGGAGCAUGUGG
rnacentral:rRNA from 1 species